UAAAUAUGCUUAAACAGCAUUGUAAAAGUGACGAACGAGACUAAAAACAUCUCUGUUAUUUGGAAAAAAAUCUGUACGUUUUUGUCCUUCUCUUUCCUUUCUCCCUCUCCUUCUUUCCUUUCUCCCUCUCC
rnacentral:ribozyme from 12 species